GAAUAUUAUUUCCAGUAAAAAAGAUGUAGAAGAACGGGAGGCCAGAAACGGGACGAAAUAUUCUUCGAACGAACUACGACCCAGGGGAAAAAAGCAAAACGAUGGAGGGACCAUUGUACCGUUCCUGUCUUUUGCAAUUUAGACACACGAUACGCGUGUUCGCACAUACACACAGAUAUACAUGUUAAAUUAUAGAGGCCCAGUCGAAUACUAUAGAAAUCAUUGGCUCGUAAAUAUAUUUGUGCCAGGGGUUGGAUGAUGGCCAUCCGGCGAUGGGAUUGGCUAAUUACGAUGCAGAGGGGUAAAACUGACGUCACUGGGCGUGCACAAGCUACGAUUGGCCAUAGCAAGAGGGGACGGUUCGAGAAAGGGAGGAUGUACUCGGAAUGAAAAGGGGACAAAGGAAAGGAGAGGAAAGGCGGUACUUUCGCAUAGUUAAUCGAUAGCAUCUCUUUUUCGAGCUAUUGUCCAGGCUCUUA
rnacentral:misc_RNA from 1 species